rnacentral:rRNA from 1 species
GGUGAAAAGCACCCCGGAAGGGGAGUGAAAUAGAACCUGAAACCGUGUGCUUACAAGUAGUCAGAGCCCGUUAAUGGGUGAUGGCGUGCCUUUUGUAGAAUGAACCGGCGAGUUACGAUUUGAUGCAAGGUUAAGCAGUAAAUGUGGAGCCGUAGCGAAAGCGAGUCUGAAUAGGGCGUUUAGUAUUUGGUCGUAGACCCGAAACCAGGUGAUCUACCCUUGGUCAGGUUGAAGUUCAGGUAACACUGAAUGGAGGACCGAACCGACUUACGUUGAAAAGUGAGCGGAUGAACUGAGGGUAGCGGAGAAAUUCCAAUCGAACCUGGAGAUAGCUGGUUCUCUCCGAAAUAGCUUUAGGGCUAGCCUCAAGUGAUGAUUAUUGGAGGUAGAGCACUGUUUGGACGAGGGGCCCCUCUCGGGUUACCGAAUUCAGACAAACUCCGAAUGCCAAUUAAUUUAACUUGGGAGUCAGAACAUGGGUGAUAAGGUCCGUGUUCGAAAGGGAAACAGCCCAGACCACCAGCUAAGGUCCCAAAAUAUAUGUUAAGUGGAAAAGGAUGUGGCGUUGCCCAGACAACUAGGAUGUUGGCUUAGAAGCAGCCAUCAUUUAAAGAGUGCGUAAUAGCUCACUAGUCGAGUGACACUGCGCCGAAAAUGUACCGGGGCUAAACAUAUUACCGAAGCUGUGGAUUGUCCUUUGGACAAUGGUAGGAGAGCGUUCUAAGGGCUUUGAAGCAUGAUCGUAAGGACAUGUGGAGCGCUUAGAAGUGAGAAUGCCGGUGUGAGUAGCGAAAGACGGGUGAGAAUCCCGUCCACCGAUUGACUAAGGUUUCCAGAGGAAGGCUCGUCCGCUCUGGGUUAGUCGGGUCCUAAGCUGAGGCCGACAGGCGUAGGCGAUGGAUAACAGGUUGAUAUUCCUGUACCACCUAUAAUCGUUUUAAUCGAUGGGGGGACGCAGUAGGAUAGGCGAAGCGUGCGAUUGGAUUGCACGUCUAAGCAGUAAGGCUGAGUAUUAGGCAAAUCCGGUACUCAUUAAGGCUGAGAUGUGAUGGGGAGAAGACAUUGUGUCUUCGAGUCGUUGAUUUCACACUGCCGAGAAAAGCCUCUAGAUAGAAAAUAGGUGCCCGUACCGCAAACCGACACAG